GGAGAACUGAAACAUCUAAGUACCCCGAGGAAAAGAAAUCAACCGAGAUUCCCUCAGUAGCGGCGAGCGAACGGGGAUUAGCCCUUAAGCAUCUUGGAAGUUAGUGGAACGGUCCUGGAAAGGCCGGCGAUACAGGGUGAUAGCCCCGUACACGAAAACAACCUUGAUGUGAAAUCGAGUAGGGCGGGACACGUGACAUCCUGUCUGAAUAUGGGGGGACCAUCCUCCAAGGCUAAAUACUCCUGACUGACCGAUAGUGAACCAGUACCGUGAGGGAAAGGCGAAAAGAACCCCUGUGAGGGGAGUGAAAUAGAACCUGAAACCGUGUACGUACAAGCAGUGGGAGCCCUUCGGGGUGACUGCGUACCUUUUGUAUAAUGGGUCAGCGACUUACAUUUUGUAGCGAGGUUAACCGUAUAGGGGAGCCGUAGGGAAACCGAGUCUUAACUGGGCGUCUAGUUGCAAGGUGUAGACCCGAAACCGGGUGAUCUAGCCAUGGGCAGGUUGAAGGUUGAGUAACAUCAACUGGAGGACCGAACCCACUAACGUUGCAAAGUUAGGGGAUGACCUGUGGCUGGGGGUGAAAGGCCAAUCAAACUCGGAGAUAGCUGGUUCUCCCCGAAAGCUAUUUAGGUAGCGCCUCGGACGAAUACUACUGGGGGUAGAGCACUGUUUGGGCUAGGGGGUCAUCCCGACUUACCAACCCCAUGCAAACUCCGAAUACCAGUAAGUAAUAUCCGGGAGACACACGGCGGGUGCUAACGUCCGUCGUGAAGAGGGAAACAACCCAGACCGCCGGCUAAGGUCCCAAAGUUCUGGUUAAGUGGGAAACGAUGUGGGAAGGCUCAGACAGCUAGGAUGUUGGCUUAGAAGCAGCCAUCAUUUAAAGAAAGCGUAAUAGCUCACUAGUCGAGUCGGCCUGCGCGGAAGAUGUAACGGGGCUCAAACCAGGCACCGAAGCCGCGGAUUCACGCUAAGCGUGAGUGGUAGGGGAGCGUUCUGUAAGUCUGCGAAGGUGUGUCGAGAGGCAUGCUGGAGAUAUCAGAAGUGCGAAUGCUGACGUAAGUAACGAUAAAGGGGGUGAAAAGCCUCCUCGCCGGAAGACCAAGGGUUCCUGUCCAACGUUAAUCGGGGCAGGGUGAGUCGACCCCUAAGGUGAGGCCGAAAGGCGUAAUCGAUGGGAAGCAGGUUAAUAUUCCUGCACGACUUGUAAUUGCGAUGGGGGGACGGAGAAGGCUAGGUGGGCCAGGCGACGGUUGUCCUGGUGAAAGUGCGUAGGUGGUGUUUCUAGGCAAAUCCGGAGACACAACACUGAGACACGAGACGAACGCACUACGGUGCGGAAGCCAUUGAUGCCCUGCUUCCAGGAAAAGCCUCUAAGCUUCAGAUUACAAGUCAUCGUACCCCAAACCGACA
rnacentral:rRNA from 1 species